rnacentral:rRNA from 1 species
GAUGAACGCUGGCGGCGUGCUUAACACAUGCCAGUCGAACGGCAAGGCACUUAGUUCCUGCGGUUCUCGAGUGGCGAACGGGUGAGUAACACGUGGGUAACCUGCCCUGCACUUUGGGAUAAGAUUAGGAAACUGGGCCUACUACCGGAUAGCACACGAGCUUGGGUGCCAUGGAGGGGAGCUUUUUCGGUGUGGGGUGUGCACGCGGCUUAUCAGCUUUUGCGUGGGGUAGUGGCAUACGAAGGCGUAGGCGGGUAGCCGGCCCGGGAGGGUGUACGGGGACAAGGGGCCUGCGAGACGGAGCAGUCUCGUACGGGAGGCAGCAGUGGGGAAUAUUGCACAAUGGGAGCAAGCCUGAUGCAGCGACGCUGCGUGUGUGAUGACGGUCUUUGGGUUGUGAACGGCUUCCGGUUGGGACGAAGCGGUAGUGACGGUACCCGGAGAAGAAGCACCGGCUAACUACGUG